AGGAUAAUUGCCUUCCAAGCAA
rnacentral:siRNA from 1 species